AUCUCAAUCCCUUCCCCACAGACCUGCUAAGGGAGGAGCCUCAGCUGCCUGCAAGGACACAGAGCUCUGUGCUUCACUCACCUCUGUCAUGUGAGAGGAAUACAGCAGGUGUAAAGGAAAAGGCAUCACCAUUUUCAGUAUCAUCCUGUUAUGGCUAAUGCUGAAUAGGAUCAUCUGACCAGCCUACACUGCAGCAUCUUUUAUUUGAUGUACACCUCAGCAUUUCAAGCACAGUUUAUGAAAGCCCAAGGAAUGGAUAUGCAUGGAUGACUAAUCCCAGGAAACCUGCAAUCCACAGCAGUGCUAUCAGUAAAUACAAGUU